CGGUGGUGGCUAGAAAUUGAUGGAAACGGUGGGGAAAAACACACGAACUAGACUCUAACAAGACCUAACCAGCAACAAGACCUCAACCAAGACACAAACUCAACACUGCGGACUCUGAAACUGAAAUAUGCAAAGGCUAUGGCGCGGAAGGGUUGUAGGACAUGAAAACGAUAUGGCCCUGGACGUUUGGGACGAACACAAGAACACUCGAAACUAAGGGUAGAUGUGAACCUAACGGUAUACCUAAAGCUUUGAUUACCACUUGAUGAGAACAAGGGUGACCUCAUCUUCCAAAAGGUUUGUAACUCUCGAUUUGGUGCAGACGAGACACAAAUCGAUCCGGAUUCCGAACAACACGAUACAAAACCCUACAAUUUUUUUAUUUUUUCGAUAUUCUUCUUUUAGUUAGGAGUAACCACAGAAAAUUUGAGCUUAAACAAGUUAAAGACAUGGCCUGCGGAAUUUUCUGAAGAUUGUGAAAAAUGUGAAAAAAACUUCACGAGGUGAAAACUCAAAGUUCGGAGGAGAAUUUUGAGGUUCUAAAAUUUUCAAACCCCCCUACAACGGGGACAUGCAGAUCCAAAAUUUUUUUCUGAUCGAUUUUGAUAUAUGGAACAUUGAAAUCGGAGUUCGUAUGCGAAAGUUAUGGCUAUUUUACAAACGAACUCUGAAUUAUAGGACAAAACGGUCCGAAAGUGGAAAAAAUUUGCGGCGGUGGCUAGAAAUUGAUGGAAACAAAGGGGAAAAAGACACAAACUGGACUCUAACAAGACCUAUCCAGCAACAAGACCUCAACCAGGACAAACUCAACACUGCAGACUCUAAAACUGAAAUAUGCAGAGGCUAUGGCGCGGAAGGGUUGUAGGACUGGAAAACGAUAUGUUAUUGGACUUAUGGGACGAACACAGGAACACUCGAAACAAAGGGUAGAUGUGAACCUAAUGGUAUACCUAAUGCUUUGAUUACCACUUGAUGAGAACAAAGGUGGCCUGAUCUUCCGAAAGGUUCUGGUAACUCUCGAUUUGGUGGAGACGAGACACAAAUCGAUCCGGAUUCCGAAAAACACGAUCCGAAACCUUGCAAUUGUUUUUUAUUUUUUUGAUAUUUUUAUUUUAGUUAGGAGCACGAAAAGAGUAACCACAUAAAAUUUGAGUUUAAACAAGUGAAAAACAUGGCCUGUGGAAUUAUCUGAAGAUUGUGAAAAAUGUGAAAAAACUUCACGAGGUGAAAACUCAAACUUUGGAGGUGAAUUUGCAGGUUCUAAAAUUUUCAAACCCACCAAAAGCUAGGACACACAGAUCCAAAAAUUUUUUCUGAUCGAUUUUGAUAUAUGGAACGUUGAAAUAGGAGUUCGUAUGGGAAAGUUAUGGCUAUUUUACGAACGGACUCCGAAUUAGAGGACAAAACGGUCCAAAAGUGGGAAAAAAUUGCGGUGGUGGCUAGAAAUUGAUGGAAACGGUGGGGAAAAACACACGAACUAGACUCUAACUAGACCUAACCAGCAACAGGACCUCAACAAGAACACAAACUCAACACUGCGGACUCUGAAACUGAAAUAUGCAAAGGCUUUGGCGUGAAAGGGUUGUAGGACACGAAAAUGAUAUAGCACUGGACUUAUGGUACAAACACAAGAACACUCGAAACUAAGGGUGGAUGUGAACCUAACGGUAUACCUAAAACUUUGAUUACCACUUGAUGAGAACAAGAGUGACCUGAUCUUUCAAAAGGUUCUGGUAACUCUAGAUUUGGUGGAGACGAGAAACAAAUCGAUCCGGCUUCCGAACAACAUCAUAUGAAACCGUGCAAUUUUUUUAUUUUUUUGAUAUUUUUGUUUUAGUUAUGAGCACCAAAGGAGUAACCACAGAAAAUUUGAGCUUAAACAAGUGAAAGACAUGGCCUGUGGAAUUUUUUGAAGAUUGUGAAAAAUGUGAAAAAAACUUCACGAGGUGAAAACUCAAACUUUGGAGGUGAUGUUUGAGGUUCUAAAAUUUUCAAACCCAACAAUGGAGGGGACAGACAGAUCCAAAAAAAAAUUUUGGAUCGAUUUUGAUAUAUGGAACGUUGAAAUCGGAGUUCGUAUGCGAAAGUUAUGGCUAUUUUACGUACGGACUACGAAUUAGAGGACAAAACCGUCCGAAAGUGGGGAAAAUUUGCGGUGGUGGCUAGAAAUUGAUGGAAACGGUAGGGGAAAACACACGAACUGGACUGUAAUAAGACCUAACCAGCAACAAGACCUCGACCAGGACAAACUCAACAAUGCGGACUCUGAAACUAAAAUAUGCAGAGGCUAUGGCGUGGAAGGGUUGUAGGACAGGAAAACGAUAUGGUACUGGACUUAUGGGACGAACACAGGAACACUCGAAACUAAGGGUAGAUGUGAACCUAAUGGUAUACCUAAAGCUUUGAUUACCACUUGAUGAGAAAAAGGGUGGCCCGAUCUUCCGAAAGGUUCUGGUAACUCUCGAUUUGGUGGAGACGAGACACAAAUCGAUCCGGCUUCCGAACAACACGAUCUGAAACCCUACAGUUGUUUUUUAUUUUUUUGAUAUUUUUCUUUUAGUUAGGAGCACCGAAAGAGUAACCACAUAAAAUUUGAGUUCAGACAAGUGAAAGACACGGCCUGCGGAAUUUUCUGAAGAUUGUGAAAAAUGUGAAAAAAACAUCACGAGGUGAAAACGCAAACUUCGGAGGUGAAUUUGGAGGUCCUAAAAUUUUCAAACCUGCCAAAGGCAGGGACAUACAGAUCUGAAUUUUUUUCUGAUCGAUUUUGAUAUAUGGAACGUUGAAAUCGGAGUUCGUAUGGGAAAGUUAUGGCUAUUUUACGAACGGACUCCGAAUUAGAGGACAAAACGGUCCAAAAGUGGGAAAAAUUUGCGGUGGUGGCUAGAAAUUGAUGGAAACGGUGGGGAAAAACACACGAACUAGACUCUAACAAGACCUAACCAGCAACAAGACCUCAACCAAGACACAAACUCAACACCGCGGACUCUGAAACUGAAAUAUGCACAGGUUAUGGCGCGGAAGGGUUGUAGGACAUGAAAACGAUAUGGCCCUAGACGUUUGGGACGAACACAAGAACACUCGAAACUAAGGAUAGAUGUGAAUACCUAAAGCUUUGAUUACCACUUGAUGAGAACAAGGGUGACCUGAUCUUCCAAAAGGUUUUGGUAACUCUCGAUUUGGUGCAGACGAGACACAAAUCGAUCCGGCUUCCGAACAACACGAUACGAAACCCUACAACUUUUUUUUAUUUUUUUGAUAUUUUUCUUUUAGUUAGGAGCACCAAAGGAGUAACCAGAGGAAAUUUGAGCUUAAACAAGUGAAAGACAUGGCUUACGGAAUUUUUUGAAGAUUGUGAAAAAUGUGAAAAAAACUUCACGAGGUGAAAACUCAAAGUUCGGAGGAGAAUUUGGAGGUUCUAAAAUUUUCAAACCUGCCUACAAUGGGGACAUGUAGAUCCAAAAUUGAUCAAGGUCCAACUCGGCAUGGAUUUUAAGCUAU
rnacentral:lncRNA from 1 species